GAAGGAUGCAAGCGUUAUCCGGAUUCACUGGGUUUAAAGGGUGUGCAGGUGGGGUAAUAAGUCAGUGGUGAAAGCCCCCGACUCAAUCGGGGAACUGCCAUAGAUACUGUUAUUCUUGAGUGUGGUUGAGGCGGAUGGAAUAUGACAUGUAGCGGUGAAAUGCUUAGAUAUGUCAUAGAACACCGAUCGCGAAGGCAGUCCGCCAAACCAUUACUGACACUGAAACACGAAAGUGCGGGGAUCAAACAGGAUUAGAUACCCUGGUAGUCCGCACUGUAAACGAUGAUCACUCGUUGUUGGCGAUACACAGUCAGCGACUAAGCGAAAGCAGUAAGUGAUCCACCUGGGAAGUACGACCGCAAGGUUG
rnacentral:rRNA from 1 species